GAUGAACGCUGGCAGAAUGCUUAACACAUGCAAGUCUUUGGCGAAGCUGUGCUUGCACAGCCUAGCCAAGGCGGACGGGUGAGUAACGCGUAAGGAACUUGCCCUGCAGUCAGGGAUAACAGACGGAAACGACUGAUAAGACCUGGUAAAGUCAGGCGGACUCAUGUCCAGCCUGAUGAAAAGAGAUGCUGCAGGAGAGCCUUGCGUCCUAUUAGCUUGUUGGUGGGGUAACGGCCCACCAAGGCGAUGAUAGGUAGCCGGCCUGAGAGGGUGGACGGCCACAAGGGGACUGAGAUACGGCCCUUACUCCUACGGGAGGCAGCAGUGGGGAAUAUUGGACAAUGGGGGCAACCCUGAUCCAGCAAUUCUGUGUGCACGAUGAAGGUUUUCGGAUUGUAAAGUGCUUUCAGCAGGGAAGAAAAAAAUGACGGUACCUGCAGAAGAAGCGACGGCUAAAUACGUG
rnacentral:rRNA from 1 species